UACGUAGGGGGCUAGCGUUGUCCGGAAUCAUUGGGCGUAAAGAGCGUGUAGGCGGCCCGGUAAGUCCGCUGUGAAAGUCGGGGGCUCAACCCUCGGAUGCCGGUGGAUACUGUCGGGCUCGAGUACGGAAGAGGCGAGUGGAAUUCCUGGUGUAGCGGUGAAAUGCGCAGAUAUCAGGAGGAACACCUAUUGCGAAGGCAGCGUCGCUGGGACGUUACUGACGCUGAGACGCGAAAGCGUGGGGAGCAAACAGG
rnacentral:rRNA from 1 species